GAUGAACGCUGGCGGCGUGCCUAAUACAUGCAAGUCGAGCGAACGGACGAGAAGCUUGCUUCUCUGAUGUUAGCGGCGGACGGGUGAGUAACACGUGGAUAACCUACCUAUAAGACUGGGAUAACUUCGGGAAACCGGAGCUAAUACCGGAUGAUAUUUUGAACCGCAUGGUUCAAAAGUGAAAGACGGUCUUGCUGUCACUUAUAGAUGGAUCCGCGCUGCAUUAGCUAGUUGGUAAGGUAACGGCUUACCAAGGCAACGAUGCAUAGCCGACCUGAGAGGGUGAUCGGACACACUGAAACUGAGACACGGUACAGACUCCUACGGGAGGCAGCAGUAGGGAAUCUUCCGAAAUGGGCGAAAGCCUGACGGAGCAACGCCGCGUGAGUGAUGAAGGUCUUCGGAUCGUAAAACUCUGUUAUUAGGGAAGAACAUAUGUGUAAGUAACUGUGCACAUCUUGACGGUACCUAAUCAGAAAGCCACGGCUAACUACG
rnacentral:rRNA from 1 species